rnacentral:rRNA from 1 species
CAAGCUUAAAUUGAAGAGUUUGAUCAUGGCUCAGAUUGAACGCUGGCGGCAGGCCUAACACAUGCAAGUCGAACGGUAACAGGAAGCAGCUUG